rnacentral:lncRNA from 1 species
UUAUUUCUAAUGUCAUUUUCUUCUCGCUUUGUCGCCUAUUCCUUUUUCAUUUCGCUUAUAUGAUAAUAUAUUACUUAUUGACGUAUAUAAAAAAGCAAACAACAAUGACAAUACUCAUUAAAAGAAAAUUAGAAAUCUAAGAACUAUGUGAUAAUUACCAGUUAACCCCAAUUAAAGACAGCUAUAAGUAACGCUAAACCUAAUAGUCUGUUCAGACUAGUAAGCUUUCUUACUUGACUACGGAAAACAUGCUUAGUUUGGAAUUAGGUUCUGUAGUUUCCUUACAUAAAAAGAAACACACGUACGAAAUAAGAAGAAAAGAACCAUACGAAUUGAACCAUAAGUAAAUAAAAAACAUACGAAUAGAACCACAAAUCAACAUCUUUCAGUCACAUUCUAUCUCUCUCUUGAUGUGCCCAUAUUUCUUGCUGUCAACAAUUCACAGCCUCCUUCAUUGCAUCACCCAUC